AUACGUAGGGGGCGAGCGUUGUCCGGAAUGACUGGGCGUAAAGGGCGUGUAGGCGGCUGUCUAAGUCUGGAGUGAAAGUCCUGCUUUCAAGGUGGGAAUUGCUUUGGAGACUGGAUGGCUUGAGUGCGGAAGAGGUAAGUGGAAUUCCCAGUGUAGCGGUGAAAUGCGUAGAGAUUGGGAGGAACACCAGUGGCGAAGGCGACUUACUGGGCCGUAACUGACGCUGAGGCGCGAAAGCGUGGGGAGCGAACAGGAUUAGAUACCCUGGUAGUCCACGCGGUAAACGAUGAAUGCCAGGUGUUGCGGGUAUCGACCCCUGCAGUGCCGGAGUAAACACAAUAAGCAUUCCGCCUGGGGAGUACGGCCGCAAGGUUGAAACUCAAAUGAAUUGACGGGG
rnacentral:rRNA from 1 species